rnacentral:rRNA from 1 species
AACAGGCUUAUCUCCCCCAAGAGUCCACAUCGACGGGGAGGUUUGGCACCUCGAUGUCGGCUCAUCACAUCCUGGGGCUGUAGUAGGUCCCAAGGGUUGGGCUGUUCGCCCAUUAAAGUGGUACGCGAGCUGGGUUCAGAACGUCGUCAGACAGUUCGGAACCUAUCCGUCGCAGGCGUAGGCCAUUUGAGCAGCCCUGUCCUUAGUAGGAGUGGCCCGGGAUGGACGUACCUCUGGUGUACCAGUUGGUCUGCCAAGGGCAUGGCUGGGUAGCUAUGUACGGAAUGGAUAAGCGCUGAAAGCAUCUAAGCGCGAAGCCAACUUCAAGAUAAGAUUUCCCACCGCAAGGGUAAGACCCCAGAAAGACUAUCUGGUUG